GACGUAGGGAGCGAGCGUUGCCCGGAUUCAUUGGGCGUAAAGAGCGCGCAGGCGGCUUGGUAAGUCGGAUGUGAAAACCCGGAGCUCAACUCCGGGCGUGCAUCCGAUACUGCCCGGCUAGAGGUAGGUAGGGGAGAUCGGAAUUCCUGGUGUAGCGGUGGAAUGCGCAGAUAUCAGGAGGAACACCGGUGGCGAAGGCGGCUUCCUGGACCGAUACUGACGCUGAGGCGCGAAAGCUAGGGGAGCAAACGGG
rnacentral:rRNA from 1 species